CCCUGCCUUCCCCCCCCCCCCUUUUUUUUUUUUUCAAUAGAAUCCACAAUCAAGCCUGGGGCAACUUAGCAGCAAUUAAAACUUAGUCUCCUGAGACAAACCUAAAUGCGCAUGAAAAUUAGGUGAGGCCCUAAGGUUAUGGCAGUUUAAAAGUACAGCUCAUUAUUAUGCUUAAGAGUGGCCUACUUACCACAGUCGUUAUUUGUCUUCCCUAACCUAACAUCGCAUCGUGUUUACGUAACUUACUAGCUCUCUGCCCCACGGUUCUGUGAAUGCUCACUCUGUUUUUGUUUUCCUGCCCAUAAUCUAGUCUUUCAGUGUUUCCCAGCCAAUUUUCACUGUAUUUUCAUAGUACUCUGCUGUCAUUUCCCCACAGAUAUUGGAGAUCAUUAACAGCUUUGCUGAUGGCUGAGUUCUGUAUAGGGACUAUGCAAGUGUUCACGUGGAUUGACAGUAUAAUGUGCUACCACACUGCAUACCAGGAUGUCCAUGCGGAUAGACUGGUGGUGACAUUGAACUUAAAGCAGGAAGAUGGCUAAUGGAAGUGGUUAUGAAAGUGGAAGUGACAGCAUCUGAAGUGGAAGGGAAAACUGAAGACUUAAAGUGCUGAAAAUCAUGUGGGUGAGAAGACUGGUAAUUUCCCUUUCACAGUGCUAUGAAAACUGACGCAUUCUGCUUGAUUAUGGAGACUUAAUAUCUGUAAUUUGAUACUUGCUCUAUGUGAGGAUAAAAAUCAGGGCAUAGAUUUAAAGAAUAUUACUUAGAAAUUGGCUAGUCUUCGGUAACGAGAGAAGCUGUAGAACACGGUUGAAAGUACUGCAAAUAGAAAAUGGAUCCUAAUGUGAACUAGGCUUGCUAGUGAUAUCUAAUAUUAUAUUGAUAGUUAGCUGGGUUUGGGGUUAAAGGUGUUGGAGAUGAGCUUGGGUAUGAAUAGAUUAUAUGUAAACACUUGCAUUUUGGUUGAUUUUUAGAUGCCUGUCCUAAAUCUGUUGUAGUAAUGACUACAGGUAAAGGUAAACUUCAGGUAAACUGUGGUGGAUUGAUCUUGGCUGGCUGCCAGAUGCCCACCAGCUGCUUUGUCACUCCUUGUUAGCAAGAUGGGGAGAAAAGAUGGACAAAACUUAAGGGUCUAUGAAAGGACAGCGAGCUCACCGAUUACCAUCAUGGGCAAAACAGCCUUGACUUGAGGAAGAUUAAGUUAUUGCCAUUAAAAAUAGAGCAGGAUGCUGACAAACAAAAACAGAACUGAUAACACCUUCCCUUCUUCCUAGGCUGAAUUUUGCUCCUUUGUUCAUGACUCGUAUGCCUCCACACCUGUUUCAGCCCAAGAAAUGCAAGAGGAUGAGGAAGUGGGGGUUGCAGUCAGUCCACAACACUUCCUC
rnacentral:lncRNA from 1 species